rnacentral:rRNA from 1 species
GGAGGUAGUGACAAUAAAUCACAAUGCGGAACAAUGUUUUGCAAUUGGAUUGAGAACAACGUACAAACCUUAUCGAUAAACAAUUGGAGGACAAGUCUGGAGCCAGCAGCCGCGGUAAUUCCAGCUCCAAUAGCGUAUAUUAACGUUGUUGCAGUUAAAAAGCUCGUAGUUGAAGUGAAGAGUUGAUGUGUUCAUUGUACAUUCGUGUACUAUUGAUCCCAUCGCCUCUCCCUCUAAAUCCUGUAUAUGAGUAUUAAUUUACUUGUAUACGUAUUUAGACAUUUACUGUGAGAAAAUUAGAGUGUUCAAAGCAGGCAUUUGCUUGAAUAUAUUAGCAUGGAAUAAUCAUGUAUGAUUUUCAUGAUAUAUUUGAUUGGUUUUGGUCAUGAGAAUAAGAUUAAAAGGGACAGUUGGGGGUAUUCAUAUUCAAUAGUCAGAGGUGAAAUUCUCGGAUUUAUGGAAGAUGAACAAGUGCGAAAGCA